rnacentral:rRNA from 1 species
UGCAUGUCUAAGUACAUGCCGUAUUAAGGCGAAACCGCGAAUGGCUCAUUAAAUCAGUUAUGGUUCCUUGGAUCGUACCUUACUACUUGGAUAACUGUGGUAAUUCUAGAGCUAAUACAUGCAGCAGAGCUCCGACCUUCGGGAACGAGCGCUUUUAUUAGAACAAAACCGACCGGACUCUGUCCGUACUUUGUGGUGACUCUGAAUAACUUUGGGCUGAUCGCACGGGCCCGUCCCGGCGACGUAUCUUUCAAGUGUCUGCCUUAUCAACUUUCGAUGGUAGGUUACGCGCCUACCAUGGUCGUAACGGGUAACGGGGAAUCAGGGUUCGAUUCCGGAGAGGGAGCCUGAGAAACGGCUACCACAUCCAAGGAAGGCAGCAGGCGCGCAAAUUACCCACUCCCAGAACGGGGAGGUAGUGACGAAAAAUAACAAUACGGGACUCUUUUGAGACCCCGUAAUUGGAAUGAGUACACUCUAAAUCCUUUAACGAGGAUCCAUUGGAGGGCAAGUCUGGUGCCAGCCGCCGCGGUAACUCCAGCUCCAAUAGCGUAUAUUAAAGUUGUUGCGGUUAAAAAGCUCGUAGUUGGAUCUCAGUUCCAGACGGGUGGUCCGCCUACCGGUGGUUACUGCCUGUUCUGAACAGCCAGCCGGUUUCUCUUGAUGAUCUUCACCGGUUGUCUUGGGUGACCGGCAAGUUUACUUUGAAAAAAUUAGAGUGCUCAAAGCAGGCGCGACGCCUGAAUAAUGGUGCAUGGAAUAAUGGAAUAGGACCUCGGUUCUAUUUUGUUGGUUUUCGGAACACGAGGUAAUGAUUAAGAGGGACAGACGGGGGCAUUCGUAUUGCGACGCUAGAGG